AAACGUCCACGCGCUCCCUCCGCCUCCCACCAUUUUUUCACUUCUUUUGCAAAUCAGCCAGAUCUCUGUUAUUUCAUCUUUUACUAUAUAAUGAUGAACUAGCAGAAUUAUUGGGGAGAAUAAAAAUGGUGAGGCCAAUAGGGGAGAGGGAUGAUGACGGAGGCCGUUACAAGGGUGUACAGAUGAGGAAGUGGGGGAAAUGAGUGGCGGAAGUACGGCAACCCAACAGCCGAGGAAGAAUUUGGUUGGGUUCUUUCAAGACGGAGAAAGAAGCGGCGAGAGCUUACGACGCCGCCUUUUUCUGCCUGCGGGGGAAUUCAGCAAAGCUCAACUUUCAUGACAAUCCUCCGGAUAUAGCGGGUGCUGGUGAUUUGACGACGGCUCAAAUCAAGGAAGUGGAUUUCAGGCACGCGGGUCGGGUUGCUGAAAAACAAGGAACGGAAGUGGCGGGUGUUGGUUUGGGAGACAGAUCGGGCCGCGCUUAUUUUCACCCACCUUGUGUUUGGACUUUCUAGCCCUACAAGUUCUUUUUUUUAUAUAAAAAAAGUCGGGAAGUUCAAAUUUUGAUAGAAAAAGAAAUGUUUUGUUUGUUGAUGAAGCUUUGUGUAAAUUGAUUUUCAUAGCGUGUUUGUGGUUCAUCGAUCUGUGUUUGAAUUGAAAUGUUGUGUUUUGAUGGAUAGAUGCUGUUGCUUUUGUUGUCCAAAAAAGAAGAAACUUGGGACUGUGUUGUGAUUUAGUCGAAAUGAAAAUGAUGGGUUCCGACCCGAACCCCAUUUUUUAAAACCCGGACCGAUCAGUUCGAACCCGACGGGUUCGGUACGGUGCCCAUCCCUAGCUACAUUAACAGAGACGCCUCCCCAUUCCCAUGCUAUUAUCAUUUGAAUGAUCAUAUCUCUCUCUUUGAUAUGCGUAUUCGUUGAGAUUUCUUUUAACCCUGUAUAUGGUAUCUACUGCAACUUCAUACCGUUUUGCCUAUGCUUUGAUUCAAUAUAUAUAUCUGAAUCAAGUUCGUCACAUUUUUUUUUCAGUCCGGGAUCGGAAUACUUGUUCGGAGACAGGUAUAUUUUGUUCAUCCGACAUGAAAGAUCCGAACGUCUAGCAAAGAUAAACUAAUCAAAAGUCGGAUGUGACUGAGAGUUGAGAUCUAAGGGGCUCGUUGCAUGAAUAGAUAGGUAAGAAAACAGCAGGCUUACCCUGCCCGGAAAAAAAAAGAGAAAAAACAAAGGAAGGCUUAAGAAAAGCCU